UCAGACGGAGCUUUAGAGGUGUAUUUUAAAAAACUGCUCAUCCCUCCUGAAAGAUCUGUCAUCUGUGGAGUCUGUAUAUUUCCAGCCCAAGACGCACCCACACACAGACAGUGACAGAGACAAGAGGCAGACAGAGGACGAGACUGGCAAGGAGGCUGGAGGAUUUACAGUAUGUUAUGUUCCAUUUCCAGGUUUGAAAUGUUGAGCUAAAUCAUUCUGCCGGAGGAGAGCAUUGUUCAGAUUUCUUAUGUAACAUGGAAAUCUCAGUCUGCAAAUUGGGACUGGGUCCAAAGGGGAUCAAAUCAAGACAUCACAGAGUUUAAAUGUGAACGUCUAUCAAACAGAUUUCUCAUAUUCAGUCGAACAUUGCUCCAGUUUUUCUUUUUUAACUAAGUCGAAAUCCUUGGCCUCUUGCCUGUCUCCUGCUGUUUCAGUAAUUUAGCUGUCUAGUGUGUUUGGUCUUUGAAUCUCAGAGUUUGUUUUUUUUAGACUUUGUCGAGUUUCUCUUGAGUAUCCAGCGCUUAUUGCCCACCUUUUCCUUGAAUUUAUCAAGCGAACUAAAGCUGAUGUUAUUCUUACCUACAUUUGCUGACUCAUAUGACCCAUUUGCUAUCUUGCUUUUGUCAUAAUGCCUCAGUUCACAAAGGAGCUGACCACCCAAGCUGAUGUAGUGUAACUUUCACUCUCGGUGGACUCAGAGCCGAAGGCAGGGACUUUUUAUGAUCCGUAAUACAUACUGAGAGCACCUUAACUUGAUGAAAUUUCCAGGUUAUUGCCACCGGAUAAGUCUUGUUGCUCGAAGGCUUUAGACUUCAGGAACUGUGGUAAUCUGCGUCUCGGCUGCAGGAGAGGAUUGUUCACAAAUAUUGAGCUUUUCAUAUUUCAAGGAUUCCACUAGCAUUGUGCUGGAAGGUGGAUUUUUGCUUUAAGAGACAAUUUUUUGGUUUAAUCCCACCGAGUGGCUCAAGAGAUAUCUGAUUUAAAGUUGCAUUAGCUACCUUCUGCCAAUCCUCUUUUACAUUUCCAAGGUUUGUUUUUUUUUUUUCUCUUCUCUCCAAAUCUCCACACAAGUACUCCUUCACAUAUCCCCAUGAAAGAAACCCAUGCCGGUCUGAAGUAGAGAUCCCCCACUGUACGCUCCGCAGAGCUUUUUCUGUUGUGAGGCAUGAAAAAAACAACAUCCUCCAUGUUCCACUCAGACUGUAGCUUUGAUAAAUGGUGGUGGCCACGAAAGCAGCGCUCCCGCUUAUUCAAGAGAAUCAAACUGAAACAUGAGAACAACACUAGUUUCCUCUUAAAGUGAUUGAUGUCACGUUCUGUUUUGCUCUUGCAUUUUUCCCAUAUGAGCCCAUAAAGGACACAAAAUCAACAAAGAACGGACAAAAUCAAUAUUUCCAUGAACACGGACGUGCUUGGAAUAACCGUCAGCUCUUUAUUUUGGAUGAUUUCGGUGCUGCUCAGCUCGCUAACUCGCGCUAAAACAGGAAAAUGAAGCCUUUGAUGAGACGAAAACAAGAACCUACUAUCAUCGAGUGCCGCCUCUGUAAUCUCCAGCUCAUUAUGAUUUAAAUAGAAACGCAAACCACAUCAAAUGCUAUUUUUGUGAUGCUAGCUGAGUGUAGGUUUAUCCUUGUUUCCUGUUUGGUUCUGGCCCUCCUGAGGCGGGUUUACGGGCACCGCUGGGGUAUUUGGAGUGCUCAAACCAUAUUUUGUCAUCUCUCCUUAAUUCAUCAUCAGAGCAGGUGUUCCUGUCUGGGGUUUGCCUCCAUGGG